rfam:TPA: Bos taurus chromosome 1, whole genome shotgun sequence.
UCCCUGUGGCUCAGUGGUAAAGAAUCUGCCUGAAAUGCAGGAGACCCAGGUUCAAUCCCUGGGUUGGGAA